rnacentral:rRNA from 1 species
UACGGGGGGGGGCAAGCGUUGUUCGGAAUUACUGGGCGUAAAGGGCUCGUAGGCGGCCAACUAAGUCGGAUGUGAAAUCCCCAGGCUUAACCUGGGAACUGCAUCCGAUACUGGAUGGCUUGAAUCCGGGAGAGGGAUGCGGAAUUCCAGGUGUAGCGGUGAAAUGCGUAGAUAUCUGGAGGAACACCGGUGGCGAAGGCGGCAUCCUGGACCGGCAUUGACGCUGAGGAGCGAAAGCCAGGGGAGCGAACGGG